GGGCUGCGGUAAUUUGACCGUGCGAAGGUAGCAUAGUCAGUAGUCUUUUAAUUGAAGACUGGAAUGAAUGGCGUCACGAGAAAUAAGCUGUCUUAGCUAUAUACAUUGAAUUUUACUUUUAAGUGAAAAGGCUUAAUUGGAAUUAAGUGACGAUAAGACCCUAUAAAACUUUAACAUUAUUACAUGACUUUGAGACUAAAGUGUAGGCAAAGUUAGGGGGAUGUUGUUUGGCUGGGGCGGCCCAGAUAUAAAGAGUAACUGUCUAUAAAUUAAAAUAGCUAUAAUUUGUAUAAUGAACCUCUAUUAGAGAUUAAUAAAUCAAGUUACUUUAGGGAUAACAGCGUAAUUUUUUCAGAGAGUCCUUAUCGAAGAAAAUAGUUGCGACCUCGAUGUUGAAUUAAAGUUUCUUUUAAAUGUAGCAGUUUGAGAAGUAGGUCUGUUCGACCUUUAAAACUU
rnacentral:rRNA from 1 species